rnacentral:tRNA from 1 species
GCCCUGAUGGCGGAAUGGUAGACGCGGAGGACUCAAAAUCCUCUGCCUUCGGGUGUGCGGGUUCGAUCCCCGCUUGGGGCA